rnacentral:lncRNA from 1 species
UAUUAAAUCAUCGAAGAAAUAUGUCAAAUGAAACUUUAACAUGGUGUGAAACCUCAAAAUAUAAUUUUAUUUUCUUCCAAACAGUAGACAACACUUCCUCUUCUCGACUGUCUGGACCAAAUAAAUGCGCAGGCUGAUUUGUCGUGGGAGGAGAGGGGGGUUAAGCAGUCUUGGAGCUUUCAGACUGCUAAUCAAAAUUUUUUGAUGUGGAAGCCUACAUAAAUCACCUGAAGAGCAAGAGGAAAUUCUACCAGAAUUUAGAGAAGAUCAUCUCUGCAAUGUAGAGGAAUUACCCAAUCCAAACAAUCUCCAUCUUGUGUGAGCAAAUUUCCAUUAACAAGAUUUGUAAUCCAUAAACAGAACAAAAAUCAUGAAAGAAUUAUGCUAUAUGCAAUAGAAUCUUUCCAUCAAACAAUCAUCUUAAAACAUAAACAUGUUUUCUUGAAAAAGUAAAAGAUUCGAAAUUGAACAAGGACAUUAAUUCUUGAACUGAAAAGUCCAAAUAUUACCUUGCUGCAAAUGUUCAAAGAGGUCGUUGAUGCUGAAAAUGCUACCACAAUAUCCACAACCACCAUAGCCUGUUAGCACUAUUUUUUAAAGAAGAAGGCAAGGUUUUCCUAUAAGCUCACGACUAUAGAAGAAUGUUUUCAUCCUAAAAGAUGUUGAAGUCUUCAUUAGAGUCUUAGGUCUCUAUCCCGUAUCUCUUCUUCAAAAUGGACUGAACUUUAAAUGAAAAGAUCAAACAAAUGUACCAAAUUUAUUAAUUAAAGUAGAAAAUAAAACAAAUUAAUCAAUUUUUCUAUACAAGAAGCAGAAAUAACUUGAAUGCAGUGAAUUAUGUCCCCUUUUUUAAACAAAAAUGAGACAAGUCCAAGUAGUUACAAUCACAAAUUGCAGAAGUUGGAGCAAAAUUCUUAAGGUUUAAAUGUUACUGUCCUAUUUAGUGAAAUAUUAAUACAAAUUCCAUCUAAAUAAAGCAAUCCAUACUUUGAAUCUUUUCGAAGCAAUCACCUUACAGAAGCUCCAUGCAUCAGUCAACUAACUUGUAAUUUUUUGGUAAUGUUCCAUGCAAAGGUACCAUACAAAUACAGAUACCUAUAAGCAAACUUGAGACUACUACUUUCUCGGAUGAUUGUGUUGGAAAUUCAUGAAAAUUUAGUAAAUGAGACACAAUUAUAUAUAGCUAGCAAUAAGGAGCUUCUAUGAGAACAAAGAUAACCAAGAAUAUAUUUCAAGUAUCUGAAAUUCUCUAUACCGCAUUUAAAUUUUCAAGUCUCACAACAGAUUUGGAUAAUAUCAGUUUAUUUCAUUCGAAAAAAAAUGAAAGACAGAAAAUCCACAUAGUUACAACAACAACUCGUCAAAGUUUUUCUCUAUAAUUUUAAUCUCUCAUGUUGCAUGGUGAAAAAGGAGAAAGGAAAAAGGUGUAAAGAAUUACAUAUGCUAACCGUGUCAAACAUUCGGCUCUCCGUUGUUGACAAUAUGAUAUACAUGCAUUCGUAAUUUUUUAUUUUCUCUGUUACCUCCGGAGGAUGCAUAAGAAACCAAAGACACAAUCCAAUUCAUUGAAGAAUUUUGGCAUACACCUCGGUGACAAAGAAUUUUUUAUUUAAGAAAUCAGAUUCAGGUCAUGAAAAUAGAGAAACGAAAGUGGUAGUUAGCUUCAACACAAAUACCAACUAUAUGGAAAUAUACAACACUGAAAAUCUAUUAGAAGUACAUAUACAUACCUUUAUUCUACAAUAACAAAGUCUUGUAAAAACAAAGAAGCAGAACCCCUCAAAUUCAACAAUAGGAUAAAUUCCUAAGCCUUAGUGACUCGAGUAGCAAAGAGGUUUUGCAUAUCAACAAAAACGAAUGGUGCAAAAGAAAAAGCUUACUUCAAAUUAUCAAGAGAGACAUGUCCAUUGAGCGUACCAUUCUUGACCCCUUCUUAACCUUAUUCGCUACAUAAUGCUCUUUCC